UACGUAGGUGGCAAGCGUUGUCCGGAUUUAUUGGGCGUAAAGGGUCCGCAGGUGGCCGUUCACGUCGAUGGUUAAAUGUUCGGGCUCAACCCGGACACCGCCAUCGAUACGGUUCGGCUCGAGCAUGGGAGAGGUACGCGGAAUUACCGGUGUAGUAGUAAAAUGCGUUAAUAUCGGUAAGAACACCAAAUGCGAAGGCAGCGUACUGGAACAUUGCUGACACUCAGGGACGAAAGCGUGGGGAGCGAAAGGGAUUAGAUA
rnacentral:rRNA from 1 species